GACGAACGCUGGCGGCGUGCCUAAUACAUGCAAGUAGAACGCUGAAGGAGGAGCUUGCUUCUCUGGAUGAGUUGCGAACGGGUGAGUAACGCGUAGGUAACCUGCCUGGUAGCGGGGGAUAACUAUUGGAAACGAUAGCUAAUACCGCAUAAGAGUAGAUGUUGCAUGACAUUUUCUUAAAAGGUGCAAUUGCAUCACUACCAGAUGGACCUGCGUUGUAUUAGCUAGUUGGUGGGGUAACGGCUCACCAAGGCGACGAUACAUAGCCGACCUGAGAGGGUGAUCGGCCACACUGGGACUGAGACACGGCCCAGACUCCUACGGGAGGCAGCAGUAGGGAAUCUUCGGCAAUGGACGGAAGUCUGACCGAGCAACGCCGCGUGAGUGAAGAAGGGUUUCGGAUCGUAAAGCUCUGUUGUAAGAGAAGAACGAGUGUGAGAGUGGAAAGUUCACACUGUGACGGUAUCUUACCAGAAAGGGACGGCUAACUACGUG
rnacentral:rRNA from 1 species